CAGCACUUGAGAAGAAAGGAGAGAGACAGUUAUUAAAGAAGUCAGCAUCUCACCAUUUCAACACUGCAGCAAUUGAUGUCUGUGCAUCUCUACUUAUACCUUCAUACGGGCCUGGAUUCAGACUGAUAGCAUUCAACUCCUAAUAGGAGAAGGCAGAGAUGAUAGAAGGGUCGGCUAUGGCUUCAUCAUUUUUUGUCUGUCUCUGGUUGAACAUGUCCUCAUAGAUACCAUGGAGUUCAGUGCUAUUAUAUAAUGGUCAACGCUGACUGAUUGAAAUAUCUUCAGGAUGAAGACAAGAUGAAUUAAUCAAAGCUCAAAUUUUUGGCUUAUUUGGAGACUAGGGAGAUGAAUGGCUCAGCAGUUAAAGAACACUCACUGCUCUUCUAGAGGACCAAUGUUUGGUUCCCAUCAUCCACACCAGAU